GACUACACAUGUCCGACAAACCUCAAAGCUCUAGUGGCUUCGCAAUAAAUUCGAACGAUAGGAGUAAUGUCUUCCAUUUUAAUGAUUGUGCUUGUGCUUAUUGCCGUUCAUGUGCAAAAGGGGGGUGGUCAGACAAGGAUUGAACCCCUUAGAACGGAAAUGGAUCAUGGACGGCUGAUUCACUACUGCUUGCUCGGAACUAUGAAGUUGACCUUAAACAGUCGUUUAUCCGACCUUAAGACUUGCUAUCACUAUGAAUGUGUUGACAAUGGAUUAUUUUCGUAUCCAAUAGGACCGACCCUGCUUUACCAUCAAGCUAACAAAGAAAUGUUAGCGGAAUGCGACCUAAUAUAUGUUGCAUGCAAACCAAUUUGGGUGAUGAAAUCGAACGAGAUGAUAUACUGUCCACACGUUCCCGAGGGAAUAAUUGCUGGCAAAUGAACACAGUAGCUUCAAGAUGUUGGUCACUUACAGCACUCCUACAUAAAAAGGAUUUCUUUUACAACGUUUUGCUCCUGAAUGUACAGCCAAAGUUUUUCUGCUAAUGUUUGUUAUGUUUUUUAAUAUUCAUCCAACAUUUCUGUAACAAUAUAUACUACCAGAUAUGUAUUACAUGUA